rnacentral:rRNA from 1 species
AUUGAACGCUGGAGGCAUGCUUUACACAUGCAAGUCGAACGGUAACAGGGUGCUUGCACCGCUGACGAGUGGCGAACGGGUGAGUAAUGCGUCGGAACGUGCCGAGUAGUGGGGGAUAACGCAGCGAAAGUUGUGCUAAUACCGCAUACGUACUGAGGUAGAAAGUGGGGGACCUUCGGGCCUCACGCUAUUCGAGCGGCCGACGUCUGAUUAGCUAGUAGGUGAGGUAAAGGCUCACCUAGGCGACGAUCAGUAGCGGGUCUGAGAGGAUGAUCCGCCACACUGGGACUGAGACACGGCCCAGACUCCUACGGGAGUCAGCAGUGGGGAAUUUUGGACAAUGGGCGAAAGCCUGAUCCAGCCAUGCCGCGUGUCUGAAGAAGGCCUUCGGGUUGUAAAGGACUUUUGUCAGGGAGGAAAUCCCUAGUGCUAAUAACACUGGGGGAUGACAGUACCUGAAGAAUAAGCACCGGCUAACUACGUGCCAGCAGCCGCCGUAA